CUGAGUCGUGGCAUUAUUAAGCCAAAAGGAAUAUCAUUAUUUGAUGCCUUACAUCUUGGUGUAAUUUCAAGUAAUUUUUUUCUUAUUUUUGAUGCAGACAAUACAAGUACUCACAAGUUUCUAGAAAGUGUGUACAGCAUCCACAUAGUCCUGAGGGAAGUUGGGUGCAGUUUACACCAUUACAAUAAAAUUGGAAAGAGAAGAGAGAAGUAUGAGCUCACUCCACUGCCUGUCUCCAGGGAGAGGUUACAGUGCAAAAGAGAUACAGAGACUGUGGUAAUUCAAAAGAAGAAGAAGAAGAAGAAGAAGAAGAAGAAGAAGAAGAAGAAGAAGAAGAAGAAGAAGGAGGAGGAGGAGGAGGAGGAGGAGGAGGAGGAGGAGGAGGAGGAGGAGAAAAGAUGGGAAAGAGGGUUUCCAUUUGGGGAGAAUUGUUCUCAACCAACUUUAUAAUGUAACCUAUGAAUAUUUGAUCUUUGAAUCUCUAUGGCAUAUAGGAAAAUUUCUUUUAAUUAUAUUGAGCACUGGAGGUUGUAUAUACAUAGUUUAACACUGAAAAUUCUUAACCACUUAAAUAAAUUCUUAGGUUGCAUGUUCA
rnacentral:lncRNA from 12 species